rnacentral:rRNA from 1 species
CCUACGGGAGGCAGCAGUGAGGAAUAUUGGUCAAUGGGCGAGAGCCUGAACCAGCCAAGUCGCGUGAGGGAGUACUGCCCUAUGGGUUGUAAACCUCUUUUGUCGGGGAGCAAAAGCCGGACGUGUCCGGCUGUGAGAGUACCCGAAGAAAAAGCAUCGGCUAACUCCGUGCCAGCAGCCGCGGUAAUCCGGAGGAUGCGAGCGUUAUCCGGAUUUAUUGGGUUUAAAGGGUGCGAAGGCGGAUUUUUAAGUCAGCGGUAAAAUCGUGGGGCUCAACCCCAUCCAGCCGUUGAAACUGGGGAUCUAGAGUGUGCGAGAGGUAUGCGGAAUGCGUGGUGUAGCGGUGAAAUGCAUAGAUAUCACGCAGAACCCCGAUUGCGAAGGCAGCAUACCGGUGCACAACUGACGCUCAGGCACGAAAGCGUGGGUAUCGAACAGGAUUAGAUACCCCGGUAGUC